rnacentral:rRNA from 1 species
GACGGAGGGUGCUAGCGUUGUUCGGAAUGACUGGGCGUAAAGGGCGCGUAGGCGGCUCGUGAAGUCGGGUGUGAAAGCCCGGGGCUCAACCCCGGAACGGCAUCCGAUACUGGCGGGCUUGAGUCCGGGAGAGGAGGGUGGAAUUGCCAGUGUAGAGGUGAAAUUCGUAGAUAUUGGGGGGAACACCAGUGGCGAAAGCGGCUCUCUGGCCCGGAUCUGACGCUGAGGCGCGAAAGCGUGGGGAGCAAACAGG